rnacentral:rRNA from 1 species
CGUAGGGCGCAAGCGUUGUCCGGAAUUAUUGGGCGUAAAGAGCUCGUAGGCGGCUUGUCGCGUCUGCUGUGAAAGCCCGGGGCUUAACUCCGGGUGUGCAGUGGGUACGGGCAGGCUAGAGUGCAGUAGGGGUAACUGGAAUUCCUGGUGUAGCGGUGAAAUGCGCAGAUAUCAGGAGGAACACCGAUGGCGAAGGCAGGUUACUGGGCUGUUACUGACGCUGAGGAGCGAAAGCAUGGGGAGCGAACAGGAUU